rnacentral:rRNA from 1 species
GACGAACGCUGGCGGCGUGCUUAACACAUGCAAGUCGAACGCUGAAGCUCAGCUUGCUGGGUGGAUGAGUGGCGAACGGGUGAGUAACACGUGAGUAACCUGCCCUCUUCUUUGGGAUAACGCCCGGAAACGGGUGCUAAUACUGGAUAUUCACUGAUUCUCGCAUGGGGGUUGGUGGAAAGGUUUUUUCUGGGGGGGAUGGGCUCGCGGCCUAUCAGCUUGUUGGUGGGGUGAUGGCCUACCAAGGCUUUGACGGGUAGCCGGCCUGAGAGGGUGACCGGUCACAUUGGGACUGAGAUACGGCCCAGACUCCUACGGGAGGCAGCAGUGGGGAAUAUUGCACAAUGGGCGAAAGCCUGAUGCAGCGACGCCGCGUGAGGGAUGGAGGCCUUCGGGUUGUAAACCUCUUUCGCUCAUGGUCAAGCCCAGCUUUGGGUUGUGGUGAGGGUAGUGGGUAAAGAAGCGCCGGCUAACUACGUG